GACGUUACCGACAGAAUAAGCACCGGCUAACUUCGUGCCAGCAGCCGCGGUAAUACGAAGGGUGCAAGCGUUAAUCGGAAUUACUGGGCGUAAAGCGCGCGUAGGUGGUUCAGUAAGUUGGAAGAGAAAUCCCCGGGCUCAACCUGGGAACUGCUUUCAAAACUGCUGAGCUAGAGUACGGUAGAGGGUAGUGGAAUUUCCUGUGUAGCGGUGAAAUGCGUAGAGAUCUGGAGGAAUACCGAUGGCGAAGGCAGCCAUCUGGCCUAAUACUGACACUGAGGUGCGAA
rnacentral:rRNA from 1 species